UGUAAAUAUUCGUAUACAUUGAACAUUCAGAAAGCAAAAGUGACAAUUGUGGACAAUUCCUUCACAUUUGAAGAAAAACAUGGAAAAGGUGGACAAUAUGUGGACAAUUUUGGAUUUCGGAGCAUUUUGGAUUUCACAUUUCCAGAUACUCGACUUAUAUCCCACCCUAUAUCCACAGUUUUUGGAACAAUGUACAAUUAAAUAAACUUAAAAGGUUUCAAACAUAUGGCCUUAUAUGCAACAUGCAAAGGAUGUACAGUGAAUAAGUCUUGAAGGCUUCCAAUAUGAGCUUCCCUCACCUCCCCAAAAUUGAGGAGAAUGCAAGUUUAGGUUUCAUAUCAUGGUAAAUGGCUUGUUUCUAGAUUUUCCAGCUAAAUUUGCAUCAAGAAAACUGUCACAACAUCACAGAUCCACGUCCUAUGAGUGAAGAUGUGCUUAUAUCCUCAAACAUAAAUAGGUGAAAUGAAUCACUCUUCUAGUGGUGUCAUGUUCAAAUAAGGAACCAAGAAGCAAGAUUUUUGAAGCAGUUUCCUAAUUUCUUGAGUGGAUUUAACACAAAAUUGUUAUUCUAUUGCAUUCUCCUUGAAAAGAUACUCCUUGUUUCUCUCAGGCAUGCCUUAUGACUCAGAUAUUAACAUGGCGUAGGCCUUUGAUCGCAGACCUUUAGAACUACAUGGAGGAGGGUAUAGCAGUCUGUCAAAGGUGAGAACACAGAACGGAACACAGCCCCACCGAAAGCUGGAACACGAAAUGGGACAAGAACUCACCUUCCUUCUGAAUCAUGCCUUCUCCUUCACCAUUUAGUCGUUGGUGCGAGCACAAGAGAAGCAACCUGCAAUGUGUGUAUAACAUAUGUCAAUGUCAUGCAUAACAAUGCCAUCCUCUGGGACCUCAGGAAGUCCUGGAAGAUGCCUUUAUUUUCUGCAUCUUCUUACAGACAUAUAGAUAGAUGCUUUUCCCAUGACCCUUUUUCUCCACCAGCCAGCAAUUGCCUUUUCUUUGGUUUGGCCCUUUACCUCCUGCUGUGUAUUUUUUUCAUACUGGUAUGCCAGUUUCUUGGACAGCUUUAAUAGGCUGACAGCAGAACUGUCCUCUAGGAGAGAAGAGGCCACGACUAGCAAAUACAUCCACCUUAGUACAACAUUUAUCUUCUCAUUUAUGUUCUGGAAGGGCUUAUUCUCUCAACUUCUAAAAGCAAGUCUUCAGAAUGUAGUACAGGCAUGAAUGGGUCCGCAAUCAUGAUCAUAUUUUUUUAUCUAGUACCAAGACUGAACUUUACAAUCUACUGAAGAUAUGAUACAGAAAGACAAGGGGAUGCCACUGUCUCUUCUUCUCUCCCUCCAAGAACAGGGCUGUUGGGAUGGAGGGAAGGCCUGUCAUCGGCUUCUGAGCCUAGGCACGAUGGAGCCUCCACCUGCCUCUUUUGCUUUUUCCUCUGAAGCCAGGGAAGUGGCAGUUAGGCUGGAGGGAAGCCUUUUCAUCUGUAGGCAUAAAGGGGCUCUCCCUACCUCUUCUUCUCUCCUUCCAAGGUCACAGCAGUGGCAGUUGGAAUGGAGAAUGGGCCGGGCUUUACCACAGCAGGUUAAUCACCAAGCUGCAAUAAAUCUUGCCAACCGAAAGGUUGACAGUUCGAAGCCCGGGUCAGGGUGAGCUCUUGACCUUCAGCCCAGCUUCUGCCUACCUAGCAGUUUGAAAACACAUGUAGGUAGAUAAAUAGGAUCUGCAUUAAAGUGGGGAGGUAUUUAGUCACGGUGUUUGAUCAGAAAUGAACAAAGAAAGCUCUUCAGCAGGGAGAUGGAACAACAGCCCCCCCCCCCCCCUCGUGGCCAGAACUGAGCACAGUCUCCAAAGAUGGGAAAGCCUAUAUAUAUAUACCUCUGUCUGUUGUCUGUCUUGACAUUGUUAUAAUAGGCACUGAAUGUUUGCCAUAUAUGUGUUCUGUGGUCUGCUCUGAGUCUCCUUCAGUGUGAGUAGGGCGGAAUAUAAAUACUGUACACACACUGGUACUGGGCAGCUGAAUGCUUCAAUGUGUGAUUUGAUAAGACUGAGCACACACACAGAUCAGCAGUGGCUUGGUGUUGAGAUGGUAGGGUGGGAAAGGAAAUACGAUUCUUUCAGGAUUGUCUCUUUUAUUUUAUGUAGCAGCUGGUUGCUUCCAUGUCAGUGGGAUAGUAAACUUUUUCCACGUUUUUCUUCAAAUGUAAAGGAAUUAUCCAUAGUGCUGAACCUAUGGGGUGUGUGUAUGUUGGGUUCACCACCUUGGAUAGUUCCUUUGAUGUUCAGAAUAAACUUGGAGGAUAUUCUCCAUCCUACUGACAUAGAAACUAUUACCUACCACUGAGUAUGUGAAGAAGAAGAAAAACAGCCAACAAGUACCAGAGUAUAUUUCACGAGGUUCAUAAAGAAAAGUUUAAUUUUAAUAGCAGACCCUCAAAAAUGUCAUUUCCUGUUUUUUCAACCCACUGUGUUAUCCAGCUAAAGCUAUUUGCAAUAUCAGUGUUAAGCUACAAUUUGUGCACAUUAUUUGUUGAGCACUGAAAAAGUAAACAACUCUUCUCUGAAAUGACUAAACAUAGUUUUUGAACCCACCCCCCGAAAGGAAGCAAAGUUUAUAUAUCAGCCUCAUAAUGAGGUAUGCAAAUGUAAUUUUAAUGGAUUCUUCUGAAAUAAUGAA